rnacentral:rRNA from 1 species
AUUGAACGCUGGCGGCAGGCCUAACACAUGCCAGUCGAGCGGAUGAAGGGAGCUUGCUCCUGGAUUCAGCGGCGGACGGGUGAGUAAUGCCUAGGAAUCUGCCUGGUAGUGGGGGAUAACGUCCGGAAACGGGCGCUAAUACCGCAUACGUCCUGAGGGAGAAAGUGGGGGAUCUUCGGACCUCACGCUAUCAGAUGAGCCUAGGUCGGAUUAGCUAGUUGGUGGGGUAAAGGCCUACCAAGGCGACGAUCCGUAACUGGUCUGAGAGGAUGAUCAGUCACACUGGAACUGAGACACGGUCCAGACUCCUGCGGGAGGCAGCAGUGGGGAAUAUUGGACAAUGGGCGAAAGCCUGAUCCAGCCAUGCCGCGUGUGUGAAGAAGGUCUUCGGAUUGUAAAGCACUUUAAGUUGGGAGGAAGGGCAGUAAGUUAAUACCUUGCUGUUUUGACGUUACCAACAGAAUAAGCACCGGCUAACUUCGUG